rnacentral:tRNA from 1 species
UCCCUGGUGGCUCAGUGGUAAAAGAAUCUGCCUGCAAUGCAGGAGACCUGGGUUUGAUCCCUGGGCUGGGAA